rnacentral:rRNA from 1 species
CUGAUCUCAGACCAGAUCACCCGCUGAACUUAAGCAUAUCAGUAAGGGGGAGGAAAAGAAACUAAACAG